GCCGAGAUGGCGGAAUUGGUAGACGCGCACGGUUCAGGACCGUGUCCGUAAGGAUGGGGGUUCGACUCCCCCUCUCGGCA
rnacentral:tRNA from 1 species